GUCCCCUACCCCGUCGCGAGGUCCGUCCUCAACGUCGAGUCCCCGACGCAUUUGGCACUGCCCCGCGUCGCGUUGGGUUGUCCCCUGCACAGCUGUAUCGGAUUCAGCCGCCCUCCAGGCCCAUCCACAUUCCGGAACAUCAGUGAUGAAGAACGUAGACCGACCACCUUCCAAUCCAAAACGCAUCAUAAUCCAGUCUACUCAGGAGUGCUUCAGCGUUGACAUACCCCGUGCUCCGGCGGGGACUGUUAGACCCGAGACAAGGCGUGCUGCUGAUGAGGAUGAUGACUUUAUGCCAUCAUCCAAGAAGCGUAACUUGGACGACAGCCCUGGUAAAGUUUUGAAGAAGGUAGUCACUAAGCGGCGGAAAGCAGUGCCCCCACCCCGACAGAAGCUGAACGUCAGAUGCAACCCCCAAGAUGUGUUAGUAAGCAUACAGAUAUUAAAUGACAGACAGCAACAAGCAAUUGCA